CUUGACCGAACCCAGCCACAGCGGCUUGUCCUCGUCGCGGUCCUGCCCGUACGUGGCCAGCAGCGCCCGCGCCUC
rnacentral:antisense_RNA from 1 species